rnacentral:rRNA from 1 species
GAUUUCUGACUUGAUGGAACUGACCCUUCCUCUUCGGAGGCUUGCGUGUCGGGCUCUAUCUGUCAUCAUUCUAGAAAACGUUCCUACCCUUCAUUGGGCCGGGAGCGCGAUCUAGAUCAUUUACUUUGAAAAAAUUAGAGUGUUCAAAGCAGGCUUGUGCCAUGAAUACAUUAGCAUGGAAUAAUAAUUUAGGACUUUGGUUCUAUUUUGUUGGUUUCUAGGACUGAAGUAAUGAUUGAUAGGGACAGUUGGGGGUGCUAGUAUUGACCGGCCAGAGGUGAAAUUCUUGGAUUCGGUCAAGACUAACUUAUGCGAAAGCAUU